rnacentral:rRNA from 1 species
UAAGGAAUAUUGCGCAAUGGGCGAAAGCCUGACGCAGCGACGCCGCGUGGGGGAUGAAGGUCUUCGGAUUGUAAACCCCUUUCGGGAGGGAAGAUGGGACGAGCAAUCGUCCGGACGGUACCUCCAGAAGCAGCCACGGCUAACUUCGUGCCAGCAGCCGCGGUAAUACGAAGGUGGCAAGCGUUGUUCGGAUUUACUGGGCGUACAGGGAGCGUAGGCGGUUCGGUAAGCCCUCCGUGAAAUCUCCAGGCUCAACCUGGAAAGUGCAGAGGGGACUGCCGGGCUAGAGGAUGGGAGAGGAGCGCGGAAUUCCCGGUGUAGCGGUGAAAUGCGUAGAGAUCGGGAGGAAGGCCGGUGGCGAAGGCGGCGCUCUGGAACAUUUCUGACGCUGAGGCUCGAAAGCGUGGGGAGCAAACAGGAUUAGAUACCCUGGUAGUCCACGCCUUAAACGAUGGAUACUAAGUGUCGGCGGGUUACCGCCGGUGCCGCAGCUAACGCAGUAAGUAUCCCGCCUGGGAAGUACGGCCGCAAGGUUGA